rnacentral:rRNA from 1 species
UACGUAGGGUGCGAGCGUUAAUCGGAAUUACUGGGCGUAAAGCGUGCGUAGGCGGUUCGCUGUGUCCGAUGUGAAAGCCCCGGGCUUAACCUGGGAAUGGCAUUGGAAACUGGCGGGCUUGAGUGCGGCAGAGGGGGGUGGAAUUCCGCGUGUAGCAGUGAAAUGCGUAGAGAUGCGGAGGAACACCGAUGGCGAAGGCAGCCCCCUGGGCUGAGAUUGACGCUCAGGCACGAAAGCGUGGGGAGCAAACAGG